rnacentral:rRNA from 1 species
GUGAGGAAUUUUCCGCAAUGGGCGAAAGCCUGACGGAGCAAUGCCGCGUGAAGGAUGAAGGCCUAUGGGUUGUAAACUUCUUUUCUCAGAAAAGAAUUAUGACGGUAUCUGAGGAAUAAGCAUCGGCUAACUCUGUGCCAGCAGCCGCGGUAAGACAGAGGAUGCAAGCGUUAUCUGGAAUGAUUGGGCGUAAAGCGUCUGUAGGUUGUUUAAAAAGUAUUCUGUCAAAGAUUAGGGCUUAACCCUAGAUAGGCAGAAUAAACUUUUAAGCUAGAGGUUGGUAGAGGCAGUGGGAAUUCCCGGUGGAGCGGUGAAAUGCGUAGAUAUCGGGAGGAACACCAAAGGCGAAGGGACUCUGCUGUGCCAAUACUAACACUGAGAGACGAAAGCGAGGGGAGCAAAUGGGAUUAGAAACCCGAGUAGUCC